AAACAUGUUUAAAAAAGUCAACAACGUUAAACAUUUAGGGAUGGAGGGAGUAUGUUGUUGUUGUUCUGUUGUGGUAGGAUUGAAUAAGAUGGUCAUUGACCAUCUCGACAAGCUCUUUGUCACAAACGCUGCUGCAACAAUUGUGAACGAGCUUGAGGUCCAGCACCCUGCUGCUAAGAUCCUGGUACUUGCUCAGCAAUAGGAGAUUGGUGAUGGAGCUAACCUCACCAUAUCUUUUGCUGAUGGGGCUGCUUGAGAAGGCUAAGGAGCUUGUCAGGAUGGGGUUGCAUCCAAGUGUGAUCGUCGCGCUGUGUACACCAAGGCCAUCAAUAAGGUUACUUACCCUCUUGAUUGAGCUGGCCUUGUAUUGUUAACCCUGUUGCCUGAUGGCAGGCUAUUUAUUCAUGCUUAUUGAGAUCUUGGAAGAUCUGGUGGAGAAAGGUUCAGAGAACAUGGAUGUGAGGAACAAGGAGGAGGUUGUGUUGCGGAUAAGAUCUACAGUCGCGAUCAAGAAAUUCAGGCCAGGAGGAUAUAUUGUGCCGUCUUCUAGCUGAUGCCUGUAAGCAAGUCUGCCCAAAAAUCCUGCUAACUUCAAGUCUUCAACGUUGACAAUGUUAGAGUUGAGAAGCUACUUCGAGGUGGUUAGGUUUGCAUAACUCUUCUGUAGUUCACGGGCUGGUUCUGAAAAAUGGCGCUGUUGGGAGCAUCGUCAAAAAGGGUGGAGAAGGCAAAGGCUAAUAUUAUUAUUAGGAAAAUGAAUUCAAAAUUUAAACUGAGAAUGUUUUGUCGUACUACGGGGGCUAUUGCACUUUUGAAACUGAGCCAGCCAAAUGCGGAUGAAUUAGGAUAUGCAGACUCUGUUUCGCUGGAAGAUAUUGGAGAAUGAAGAAGGUCGAAACUCGGUGGCUAUUGCUGUCUUAAGAGGCAGCACUGAUAGUAUACUGGAUGAUCUCGGAAGAGCUGUUGAUGACGGUGUCAACACUUACAAGUCAAUGUGCAGGGAUAGUCGGAUUAUUCCUGGUGCCGCAGCAACAGAAAUAGAAUUGGCAAAGAGAUUGAAGGAAUUCUCUCUGAAGGAAACAGGGUUGGACCACUAUGCCAUUGCAAAAUUUGCUUGAAGUUUUGAAAUGGUUCCAAGAACCCAGGCUGAAAAUGCUGGGCUUAGUGCUCUGGAGUUAAUAUCUUCUGUUUAUACCGAGCAUGCUGGUUGAAACACGAAAGCUGGUAUUGAUUUGGAAGGUGUUUGCAAGGAUGUCUCGAUCAUGAAAAUAUGGGACCUCUAUGUUACAACUUACAAAAUGCUGCAUGUACCGUUCUGCGGGUUGGCCAGAUCAUUCAUGGCAAAGCCAGCAGGAGGGCCACGGAGAGAUGAUCAGCCAGGGAGAUGAACCAAUAUAAGUGUGCUGCUGUGCUAUAUUUUCCAUGUUUACUGGUGGUCUGAGGUUUCAACAACGAAGGCCUCUCUUUUAUUUUAGGUUUGGUCCAGUAGAAAGAUUUUGGUGCCUGGACAGCACAUUUU